rnacentral:rRNA from 1 species
UACGUAGGGUGCAAGCGUUGUCCGGAAUUAUUGGGCGUAAAGAGCUCGUAGGCGGUCUGUCGCGUCUGCUGUGAAAACCUAGGGCUUAACUCUGGGCGUGCAGUGGGUACGGGCAGGCUAGAGUGCGGUAGGGGAGACUGGAAUUCCUGGGUGUAGCGGUGAAAUGCGCAGAUAUCAGGAGGAACACCGGUGGCGAAGGCGGGUCUCUGGGCAGUAACUGACGCUGAGGAGCGAAAGCGUGGGGAGCAAACAGGAUAG